rnacentral:rRNA from 1 species
GGAUAACACUUAGAAAUAGGUGCCUAUACCGCAUAAGCGCACGGUCCUGCAUGGGACAGUGUGAAAAACUCCGGUGGUGCAAGAUGGACCCGCGUCUGAUUAGCUGGUUGGCGGGGUAAAGGCCCACCAAGGCGACGAUCAGUAGCCGGCCUGAGAGGGUGGACGGCCACAUUGGGACUGAGACACGGCCCAAACUCCUACGGGAGGCAGCAGUGGGGGAUAUUGGACAAUGGGGGGAACCCUGAUCCAGCGACGCCGCGUGAGUGAAGAAGUAUUUCGGUAUGUAAAGCUCUGUCAGCAGGGAAGAAAGCAAUGACGGUACCUGACCAAGAAGCCCCGGCUAACUACGUGCCAGCAGCCGCGGUAAUACGUAGGGGGCAAGCGUUAUCCGGAAUUACUGGGUGUAAAGGGAGCGUAGACGGCUGUGCAAGUCUGGAGUGAAAGGCGGGGGCCCAACCCCCGGACUGCUCUGGAAACUGUAUGGCUGGAGUGCAGGAGAGGUAAGCGGAAUUCCUAGUGUAGCGGUGAAAUGCGUAGAUAUUAGGAGGAACACCAGUGGCGAAGGCGGCUUACUGGACUGUAACUGACGUUGAGGCUCGAAAGCGUGGGGAGCAAACAGGAUUAGAUACCCUGGUAGUCCACGCCGUAAACGAUGAUUACUAGGUGUCGGUGGGUAUGGACCCACCGGU